UUAAUUGAAGAGUUUGAUCAUGGCUCAGAUUGAACGCUGGCGGCAGGCCUAACACAUGCAAGUCGAGCGGCAGCACAGAGGAACUUGUUCCUUGGGUGGCGAGCGGCGGACGGGUGAGUACGGCCUGUGAAAUUGCCCGGUAGAGGGGGAUAACCAUUGGAAACGAUGGCUAAUCACGAAUAACCUCGCAAGAGCAAAGCAGGGGACCU
rnacentral:rRNA from 1 species